GCGUCAGUGGCACAGCGGUAGAGUGCUCGCCGACCACGCAGGUGGUCCGGGGUUCGAUUCCCGGCCAACGCA
rnacentral:tRNA from 1 species